UCUGAUUGCUUCCCCAGAGCAAAGUUGAUUCUGUUCAUCUAGCCUCUGUGUUUCCGUUUAGCCCAUCCAGGUUCUUCUUCCUUAUUUUUUGUCAGGACAACCUCAUGGGUGAUGUGUUCUUCAUCACGAGGCAAGUAUGUCUCAAUGUCUCUCUUUUUGUGAUCUUAGUGGUUAUUGUUAUUUAAUGCUCUAUCUCCAAAUUUAUUAACAUUACAUAAAUACUCCAAUUCUAUUAUUCUUUCUUCAUUGAAUUUGUUGAAAUAUUCCAAUUAAAUACCCGUGUAGGUUUUAUCUCUUCAGUGAUACAAUUUGCAUAGGAAAGGCAGGAUAAAAGUUAUUUUCAAAAAAAUAGUUGAUUCUCUAGCAUCUUCUAAAGAGAUCAGUUUGGUUUUUUAGAGUGGACUUUGGCAGUAGUUCAAUAAGCAGCUAAUCGUGUAUACACUUUGAAAUCCCUUCAGUGGAUGUCACACAUCCUGGGAGAGAAAAGAGAAGCAAGAGUGGGAACUGGGAGCCAGCAACGUGGAAACCCAGGCAGGAGCCCAGCAGGUACCUUGAGCCAUCCUGGGGUAAUAUUUGAAACUGGUGCCUGGUCAGAGCAUUGCUUCUGUCCUGGCAAGAUUGGGGGUUUGGGGUAGUGAAUUGCAGAGCUGUCCACCUUCCUGCACUGGACUUUGCAUUCUGUGAUUGGAACUGGCUCCACAUCCAGGUGCUGUUCACCUGGCCACGCUCUACAAGGUAAGGCUUCAAAGUGCUCUUUGACCAGAAGACAUGAAUCUUCAAUUACUACACUUUACAAUUCUCUCAUGUAAUUAUAUCAGAUCUUUAAAGAAUUUCAGUUUCUUGAAUCUUGUGGUGUGUUUAUUGUGAGCAAAGCAUCAUAGGUGCUGUCAGGGAUACAGUGAUAAAUAAGAAAAGGACUCUGAUCUCAUUUGCAGUGCUCUGGGGUAGGCAGAGUAUAUGCACAUAAUUGUAACACACAGCCCAAUAAACAGCAGUGCCAGAAUUGGAGGAGCUGGGCU
rnacentral:lncRNA from 1 species